UGCGCUCCAACCAGGAGGCAGCGACUGACUGACUGGCUGCGUGGGGAGCCGGUGUGGGCGCAGCGGAGGACUUUCCUAUAUAAACCGGGAUCCCACGGCCAGACGAGCUCGUCUCUUCUCAGUCAGCGACAGACAGGAGCCGCAGUUCUCCCCCCUCCUCUUUCUCCUCCGCGAACAACCGCUGUUUCUCUCCUCCAGUCACAGUUAAGAAAAUCAUCUCAACCUCAACCUCCCCCCCCCCAAGGGAAAUUUUAGUCUAUGGUUCUGACUGACGCUCCAACAAGGAUGUCCCGGACCGACGAGGUGCACCGUAUAACGGAGAAUGUGUACAAGUCCAUCAUGGAGCAGUUCAACCCCUGCUUGCGGAACUUCAUAGCCAUGGGAAAAAGCUAUGAGAAGGCACUCACCAGUGUCACAUACGCUGCAAAGGGCUACUUCGACGCUCUGGUGCGGAUGGGCGAGAUGGCCAGCGAAAGUCAAGGCUCUAAGGAUCUUGGGGAGGUACUCUUUCAGAUGGCUGAAGUGCACAGACAGAUCCAGAUCCAGCUUGAGGAGAUGCUGAAGUCUUUCCACAAUGAGCUGCUCACAGAGCUGGAGAAGAAGGUCGAGCUGGAUGCACGCUACCUGAAUGCUGCGCUGAAAAAGUACCAGAUGGAACACAAGAGCAAAGGGGAGAGUCUGGAGAAGUGCCAGGCAGAGCUGAAGAAACUGCGCAGAAAAAGCCAGGGCAGCAAACACCCCUCCAAGUAUGGAGACAAGGAAAUGCAGUAUGUGGAGGCCAUCAGCAACAAGCAGAGCGAGCUGGACAACUAUAUCGCUGAGGGCUACAAGAACGCUCUGUCCGAGGAGAGGAGGAGGUACUGCUUCCUGGUGGACCGUCAGUGUGCCGUGGCCAAGAACAGCAGUGCCUACCACAACAAGGGGAAGGAGCUUUUAUCCCAGAAGGUCCCGGUGUGGCAGCAGGCGUGUGCCGAGCCCAACAAACUGCCAGAUCGUGCCAUGUUUCUGGCCCAGCAGAUGAGCGGUGCAGCAGGCACCAUGGCUCCCGGUGCUCAUCAUCCAGGCAUGCCCAUGUCAGAGCCCAUCCCUGGUGCUAAACCCCUGCCAGUACCUCCAGAGCUGGCAGCCCUCAGGGCCAGUGGGGGUAUGGGACAGCAGAGGCUGAUGGGAGGUGUGGAAGGAGGGAUGCCGGUGAUGAACGGCACAGCCGGCGCCCACGGGGGAGAAGACUACCAGCAGUGGAUGGAGGGCAAGGUGGCCCAGGGCAAGGCCUCACCCCAGACCCAGCGGCACGGAGGGGAGGUCUAUUCCAACACCCUGCCUGUACGCAAGGCUGCCCCAGCCAAGAGCAAGACCACACUGACGGAGACCCGUACACUGCCCCGGUCCAGCUCCAUGGCUGCAGGGCUGGAGAGAAAUGGCAGAACUCGUGUCCAGGCCAUCUUCUCCCAUGCUGCCGGCGACAACAGUACCCUGCUCAGCUUUUCAGAGGGCGAUGUAAUAACCCUGCUGGUCCCUGAGGCCCGCGAUGGAUGGCACUAUGGAGAGAAUGAGAAGACCAGGAUGCGUGGCUGGUUUCCCUUCUCUUACACGAGGGUGAUCUCUGACAGUGAAGGCGACUCCAUGAGGCAACUUCGAGUACACAACCUCCACCACGGGAAAAGCAGCAGCACGGGCAACCUUCUAGAGAGAGAAGACAUGGCUCUCCCCGUCCCUGAUUACGCCAUGCAAUCCCGUAUGGCAGCUCAGAGUGCUGCUGCGCUGCAUGGCAGACAACAACGCCCCUACAGUGUUGCGGUGCCAGGCUUCUCACAGCAAGGGGUUGAAGAGUACGAGCCCCGCUUCCCCACAAGAGACAAAAGUCGAGUGCAAACGACUGGAAGCUGCCAGUGUUUCUUCUUUCUCCACUAAAUUAAGUCCAAGUACAGGGCCUGAUUACGCCCGCUUUUGAGUGACCAAAACCUAUACAAUGAUCCACCUGACGAGCCAGCCGUGGAGGCCCCGGCCAAACCCCCCCUCUCUGACGAUGAAAACUGAAGCGGAGGACGAUCAGCUUGAUGAAGCUCACUAUGACUCCUUGGAGAAGGCCUCGCCUCCUCCAGGGGACAACUGAGGUCUCCCUCAGUCUGAACCAGCUGUAGGCAGAUCACUGGUGCACAACUGGCACCUCCGCCCCUCAGCUGCGAAGCUCUGAUUCAACCACAUUAUUACAUAGCGCGAGUAAAUAAUAAGAAUCAAACAUGACCAGCAAAUGAAACCACAAUUCACAUUUACAGUAAUCUCUGUAUUAGUUGAGAGAUAAUGUAAAUAAAAGCUAGAACUGAAUUGUGCUUGAUCUUCUAGCAUGGAAAGCACAUUGAAAGACAGAACAAUACAAAAAUCAGGCCUUUGAUUGUUUAGCUAUACUCACAUUCCUGGGUAAUAGUGAUGGACAGCAGUGAAGGUGUUGAUGCACAAAGAGCAUGUGGUGUGAAAUAAGAAGGACAGGUGAUUCGGUGCAGCAGUAGAUAAAACUGAUUUGAUUUCAUUUGAUUUGAAAAGAAUAGAUGUUCACCUGAGUGGCUCACAUAGAUUCUUGGUUCAUUUUCAAAGCCUGAAUUAUUGCCUCUUACAUUGUGUCACUACCCAAAGACUGAUGACUGGCUCCAUCUCCUGUACACUCACAGGGUCCAUAGCUGCCUGAGAGGUCGCCUGAGGAAGUCUUUGUGCUUUUAAUCUACAGCUUUCCUGUCCCUGCCGUGUCAGCAAAAGGGCUUUAACGUCGGUAAGCUAGACAUCUUAACAGGUCUUUCACCUUUUAGCCUCACCUCUUAAUACUGCCUUCUUAAAGGGCAAGCGUACAGUUGUCAAAAAAAGAAAAAAAAAAACUGCAGGAAAACAGAGAAGUUUAUUUGUCGAAACCAAGGUGGAUAAUCUAAAGUGCGAGCCAGACGUUUUGGCAAGACGAUGGGAGAAAAAAAAAAUGUGCUGAAACACACAACAGAAAAUAGACUAGCCAGAAAAAUCAACAGUAUCUGUGGAAUAAAUUUGUGCUGAGUGAUGGCAUCAAAACUGAUAAGCACACUACUCAUAGUACUGUAUCCUCAAAUAAUUGGUAUACUCACAAGAAAUCUUAUAUUCUGUAAUAUUAGUUAUAAGCAGCACUGCAGGUGUUUGUACCUACAGUAAUAAUGUACCGUUGAUUCAUUUUUGAUUAAUAUGUUGUUAGUGAACAAACAGUUUGUAACAUCUUCUUAAAGCAAGAUUUUCAACAGAAAUAUUCAACAAUACAAUCAACUGGAGAAAGAUUUCGUGAUUGCAUAUUGUCUUCUAUUAUGUUUAAAAUAACUAUGGACUGUGAAUGAGAGAGACACAGUCAGGGUUACACUAAUACAGGCUGUUAUUGGUUAGACUGAUAUUGACUUUUCUUUUCUUUGUUGGAAAAUAGCCUGGUGUCUAAGCGUGUUUCGUUAGGUUUGAUCUAUUUGUUUUGACGUCGUCUCUGAGAUUUCUGCCUCCAUCCCAAUGACAAUUAAGGUACAUGGAACUUGCUCACAGAGUUACAGAUAUUUAAUGCUGUGUGAGCAUAAAGAUUUCAGAAAUUUCAAAACCAUGUCUUUGCAGAGACUGUGCCAGUUAUUUUGGAUAAUGGACACACCGGUCAACAUGGACACACUGACAGCAGUUUUCACAGCAACCACUAUACCAAUCUAAUGGAAAAAAAAAAAAGUCUAUUAAAACUGUUGUCAGUGAGGUCUGUGGAUUAAAGUCCUUAAAAUGUUAUUUUUAUGCUUUGAGCAAGUGAAAUUCCAUUUGCAUUAACUGAUAAGGACUCAACUAACCUGGACAACUGUCUACUAACUACUGAGAAAGUCUAGGUGAACCUCAUUUUUAAUUCCCCCCCAUCAAUCUGAUCUGUAUUAUUAAACAUAUUGGUUUGUUCAGUGUAACUCUAUGAUAAUAUUAUAUCAUAUAAUAUUAAGACAAGGAAAUUUUUAAAAUAUAAUCCUUAUUAUUUGAAAAUUUAAAAGAAAAAUCUGAAAGUCUGACAUAUUAGUUACAUACAGUGUCGACAAUGUUACAAAACUUGCAUUGCAGACAACACAGUGUCAUGCUUUCAGUGAAAUGUGCCCUAGUUUAAAUUCAUUGUUAAAUUGAAAGACAAGUCACCUCAUAAUAAUUAGUUUCUACUCGUAUAUAGUUGGUGCUCACGUUGGAAUAACUGCACUUUAAAUCUUGUGUGGAGGCAGAGGAAACCUGCACUGGCCUCAUAUGGGCUGAAAAGUUCAAGUCUGUUAACACCGUUCCAACCACACCCAACUGUGACGUAAUAUUGCAGUGAAAUACUGUUGUGUAGCAGUGGUGUUUUCUACCUGGGCUGUCGUGCUAACUAGUGGUGGCAUAUGCUUUUUUUACACUCUGUGCAGCUGAGAUGUAGUGUGGUGGUGUUGAGUGUGGUCAGAGCUUUAAAAGACUGAUAUUUUUUAACCUCAGGGGCUUGUGCAGCUGUUUCUUUCUCUCAUAAUCAAGUGUGGAUAUUCUUAAAAAUAUCCAGUAUAAAUCCAGAUAUAUUUGUAUCUAAACUAAUAAAGCCUAUAUUGGUAUAACUGUACAUGAUGUAUAAGGACUAAUAUGAUACAAGUGUAAUGACGACAGUCAAAACUGUAUCAUUAUGUGAUACGAUGGCAAACACAGUGUCUGUUUUUCAAUUUAAUUUUGAGAAUAAAGAAUCAAGUAUUUACCCACA